UUACUACUGGUGUAUACGCAUAUCAAAUUUUGAUUUUGAUGGUUUAUUUUAGUAAU
rnacentral:tRNA from 1 species